UACGUAGGGUGCAAGCGUUGUUCGGAAUUACUGGGCGUAAAGCGCGCGUAGGCGGGCUUGAAAGUUGAUUGUGAAAGCCCUGGGCUUAACCCGGGAAUGGCGGUCAAAACUUCAAGUCUUGAGUGCCUGAGAGGAUGGCGGAAUUCCCGGUGUAGUAGUGAAAUACGUAGAUAUCGGGAAGAACACCUGAGGCGAAGGCGGCUAUCUGGCGGUGCACUGACGCUGAGGCGCGAAAGCGUGGGGAGCAAACAGG
rnacentral:rRNA from 1 species